rnacentral:rRNA from 1 species
CAGUCGCCGCGGUAAUACGUAGGGGGCGAGCGUUGUCCGAGUUACUGGGCGUAAAGCGCGCGUAGGCGGCUUCUUAAGUCUGAGGUGAAAGGUUCAACGCUUAACGUGAACAGUGCCUUGGAUACUGGGGAGCUUGAGUAUGGGAGAGGGCAGUGGAAUGGCUGGUGUAGCGGUGAAAUGCGUAGAUAUCAGUCGGAACACCCAUGGCGAAGGCAGCUGCCUGGCCUAAUACUGACGCUGAGGUGCGAAAGCGUGGGGAGCGAACGGGAUUAGAUACCCCCGUAGUCCCUGUCUCUUAUAC